rnacentral:rRNA from 1 species
UGGGGAAUAUUGCACAAUGGAGGGAACUCUGAUGCAGCGACGCCGCGUGAACGAAGAAGGCUUUCGAGUCGUAAAGUUCUUUUAUAUGGGAAGAUAAUGACGUUACCAUAAGAAAAAGCCCCGGCUAACUACGUGCCAGCAGCCGCGGUAAUACGUAGGGGGCUAGCGUUGUCCGGAAUCACUGGGCGUAAAGGGUUCGCAGGCGGCAAUGCAAGUCAGAUGUAAAAGGCAAAGGCUCAACCUUUGUAAGCAUCUGAAACUGUAUAGCUUGAGAAGUGUAGAGGCAAGUGGAAUUUUUAGUGUAGCGGUGAAAUGCGUAGAUAUUAAAAAGAAUACCGGUGGCGAAGGCGACUUGCUGGGCACAAUCUGACGCUGAGGAACGAAAGCGUGGGGAGCAAACAGG